rnacentral:rRNA from 1 species
UACGUAGGGUGCAAGCGUUAAUCGGAAUUACUGGGCGUAAAGCGUGCGCAGGCGGCUUUGCAAGACAGAUGUGAAAUCCCCGGGCUCAACCUGGGAACUGCAUUUGUGACUGCAUGGCUAGAGUGCGGCAGAGGGGGAUGGAAUUCCGCGUGUAGCAGUGAAAUGCGUAGAUAUGCGGAGGAACACCGAUGGCGAAGGCAAUCCCCUGGGCCUGCACUGACGCUCAUGCACGAAAGCUAGGGGAGCAAACAGG